rnacentral:rRNA from 1 species
GAUCCUGGCUCAGGAUGAACGCUAGCGGCAGGCUUAACACAUGCAAGUCGAGGGGUAUUGGUUUUCGGACCAAGAGACCGGCGCACGGGUGCGUAACGCGUAUGCAAUCUACCUUUUGCAGAGGGAUAGCCCAGAGAAAUUGGAUUAAUACCUCAUAGUAUAGUACUUUGGCAUCAAGGAACUAUUAAAGUCACAACGGUAAAAGAUGAGUAUGCGUCCCAUUAGCUAGAUGGUAAGGUAACGGCUUACCAUGGCAACGAUGGGUAGGGGUCCUGAGAGGGAGAUCCCCCACACUGGUACUGAGACACGGACCAGACUCCUACGGGAGGCAGCAGUGAGGAAUAUUGGACAAUGGGCGCAAGCCUGAUCCAGCCAUGCCGCGUGCAGGAAGACGGUCCUAUGGAUUGUAAACUGCUUUUAUACAGGAAGAAACACUCGGACGUGUCCGAACUUGACGGUACUGUAUGAAUAAGCAUCGGCUAACUCCGUG